GCCAGACUCCUACGGGAGGCAGCAGUGGGGAAUAUUGCACAAUGGGCGAAAGCCUGAUGCAGCGACGCCGCGUGAGUGAAGAAGUAUUUCGGUAUGUAAAGCUCUAUCAGCAGGGAAGAAAGAAAUGACGGUACCUGAGUAAGAAGCCCCGGCUAACUACGUGCCAGCAGCCGCGGUAAUACGUAGGGGGCGAGCGUUAUCCGGAUUCACUGGGUGUAAAGGGAGCGUAGACGGCCAUGCAAGCCAGGGGUGAAAGCCCGGGGCCCAACCCCGGGACUGCCCUUGGAACUGCAUGGCUGGAGUGCGGGAGGGGCAGGCGGAAUUCCUGGUGUAGCGGUGAAAUGCGUAGAUAUCAGGAGGAACACCGGCGGCGAAGGCGGCCUGCUGGACCGCGACUGACGUUGAGGCUCGAAAGCGUGGGGAGCAAACAGGAUUAGAUACCCCCGUAC
rnacentral:rRNA from 1 species